UAUUGUACGAAAAAAACCAAUACUGAAAAUCUGCCAUUGACCACCAUUGUACUUUCUCUCUGUUUUCUCUCUCACCGCCUUUUUGCCGCUGUGAACAACUCCAAAAAGCCCUCUCUCUUUCUUCUUCUUCACCUUUUUAGAGAGAAAGAGAGAAACCCAGUUAUCUUUUCGGUUUGCUUGUUGAUUUCUCUCUCUAUCUAUAUAUAUAUAUAUAUCUAUAUAUCUAUACAUCUAUAUGUAUGUAUUGUUUCUUCAUUAUUCGUCCAUAUCUCUAUUAAUUCAUCAAUUAACUACAAAACCCAUCUCCCAUUUGUUUGAUCCAACGGCCAUAAUUCAUCUGCUUAUUCAAUCGUUCGACUAAAAGGAUUUGUCUGCGUAUCGGGUAACUUUGUCAACGAAGGCGGCUAGGACGAGUGGGGAGAAAUUACUAAUGCAUGUAUUUGUUGUGAACGGGCUGAAGGAGUUGAAAUUUGUGAGGCCAGGCAUAUGGAAUCUAAUGGUUACAGAAAGAGUAACAAAAGGAAUCUUGUUACCAUUCAAAAUGGUAAUCAUAGCCCGCUGAAUAUAGAUGAGGAGCUGGAUCCAUGGACCGCUUGGGCAUACAAACCUCGUACUAUUACAUUGUUGCUUAUUGGUGCAUGUUUCCUCAUCUGGGCAAGUGGAGCUCUUGAACCGCAAAGUACUUCCUCCAGUGAUGUUACUACUUCUGUGAAAAGGGGAAUUUUGGCAAUGGUUGCUGUUUAUCUUGCCUACUCUUUGCUGCAAGCCCCUUCAACGGUACUUAUUAGACCACAUCCUGCGAUUUGGCGCCUGGUUCAUGGAAUGGCUGUGAUUUAUCUUGUUGCUUUGACAUUUCUACUUUUUCAGAGGCGCGAUGAUGCUCGCCAGUUUAUGACAUUUCUUCAUCCUGAUCUUGGCAUUGAACUUCCUGAAAAAUCUUAUGGUGCUGAUUGCAGACUCUAUGUACCUGAAAAUCCCACAAACAGGUUUAAGAAUCUUUAUGACACAUUGUUCGAUGAGUUCGUUCUGGCUCAUAUCUUAGGGUGGUGGGGCAAGGCCAUCAUGAUACGUAAUCAGCCUCUUUUGUGGGUCUUAUCCAUUGGGUUUGAGUUGAUGGAGCUUACUUUCCGCCACAUGUUACCAAACUUUAAUGAGUGCUGGUGGGACAGCAUUAUUCUGGAUAUAUUCAUUUGCAACUGGUUUGGCAUCUUGGCUGGAAUGCGUACUGUUCGAUAUUUUGAUGGAAGAACAUAUGAGUGGGUUGGUAUAAGCCGGCAGCCAAAUAUUAUGGGCAAGGUCAAGCGAACACUUGGCCAAUUUACACCUGCACAUUGGGAUAAAGAUGAAUGGCGACCCCUCCUUGGUCCCUGGCGAUUCCUUCAAGUUCUCACUCUCUGUGUUAUUUUCUUGACUGUGGAAUUGAAUACAUUCUUCUUGAAGUUCUGUCUUUGGAUUCCUCCUAGAAACCCUCUGAUAGUGUAUAGGUUGGUUUUGUGGUGGCUACUUGCGAUACCAACAAUUCGGGAGUACAACAGUUACCUACAGGACAGGACACCAGUUAAAAAGGUGGGAGCAUAUUGCUGGCUUUCACUAGCUAUUUGCAUUGUUGAACUCCUAAUCUGCGUCAAGUUCGGACAUGGAUUGUUUCCUGACCCCAUGCCCAAUUGGUUAGUAAUUUUCUGGACAUGCACCGGUGUUGGCCUUGUGUUAUGUUUGGCUGCAUGGUCAUGGCAAUUACAUCGUACAAUGAGGAAAAAACAGCAAUGAGUUUCUGCAGUAACUCCAUUCUUUAUUCCUUUGUGUUAUUUCGGGUAACCAACCCUCUUGUACAUACCAAUUACCUUUUAACUGUACAUGUUUUCUUCCUAGUUUAGGUAUUAUAGUUGAAAAUGUAGUGAACCACAAUUCUUUAUCACUAGGUCACAGGUUGGUAGAUUGCCUUGUUUGUGCUGCCUCAGUUUGCAGUCUCUUUCCUAAAUAAUUUUUUUACGGAAUGUAUGUCGAAACUUGAAAGUUUUGCAAUUUCAGCUCUAUCUCCAGGGCUAUUUUUCUCUUGAAGAUCAUCGAGUCUAUCGGUGGUACAAGUUUCUGAGAACUGUCUCUUGACCAGAUAAUGUGGAACAGAGAGAGUUGAAACAUAGUUUUCAUGCAUGAGGUAUGAUAUAGCAUCUUUGAAAGUAGAUGAUGUUGGUAUUAGUGGUUUUCAAGCUAACAUAGCUCUAGUCUACCAUAAGGGGAGUGCACUCACUAUUUAUUCUUCUUGUGGUUGAUUUGAGAAACAAUACCACCGUCUAUGAAACGGUAGAUAGCAACAGAAAUCGAAGGACAAGAAAUUAUAGGAGCAGUACUACAGGUAGUAGUGAGGACGGAUUUUGCUCCUACCCUAAUCUGUGUCCUCCAUAUCUCCUAUCUGAAGUUAUGUCUUCGGUAAGUUGAGACUGCAUCAUGUCCAAUCUAAUCACCUCUAUUCAGUAUUCUUUUGAUUUAUCCUUUGCCUUUUGAGGAACUACCUAUAGAAAGUCAACCUCUUACACCUCCACCUUGCGGGAUUCGAAAUAUAUUGGGACCAUCUCAACCUCAUUUCUCACAUUUUGUCCUCCAUCGAAGUCGCUUCCAUCUUGUCACAAAUAUCCUUAUUUUUAAUCUCUCUCCCUCACAUCUAUUGCAACAUCCUCAUUUUUGCAAUUCUCAAGUUUUGAACGUGAAAGUUCUUGAGUGAUCAACGCUUAUUCCCAUACAACAUAAUUGUGCUAUGCAGAACUUGCGUUAAUGACACUUUUUUAUCACACGGGACUCCAGAUGCGUGUCUCGUGUCUCAGUUUCAUUCAUUCUACACCAAUAUGGUGAGUGACGUCCUCAUUUAUCAUUUUGAUAAUAGAUUCGAAAUACUUGAAACUUUCGCUCUUUUAAAUGACUUGUGUAUCAAGUUUCAAUUUUACACCCGUCUUAUGUAUUACGUCACUAAAAACUUGCACUUCAAGUAUUCUUUUGCUCUACUUGAACCCUUUAAACUACAGGGUUUGUUUCAAAACUUCCCACUUGACGUUAGCUCCAUCACAAAUCUCAUUAAUCGGACUAUAUCAUCCACAAAUAACAUAUACUUUUUGACACCUCACUUUAAAUUUAUUUAACAACAAUGAAAUACAUUAAAAUAGGUAGAAUAUUACAUAUAAUCUCAUCAAGAAAAAAAAAAUAUCAAAUGAUGCAAUGAAAAAAAAGGUAAAUGAAGUCAUGACUAAGCAAAUCUUGAACAAUAUUAAUAAUCAGAGGUAUUCGGUUCAAGCUUUGAGUGUGAAGAAAACCCUGUCGAGAGCGUUACCCUCAAGUUAGCUUUAUUCAAAUUUUAUCGAGACUUCAAUAUAAACUCCGAACAC